rnacentral:rRNA from 1 species
UACGAAGGGGGCGAGCGUUGUUCGGAUUUACUGGGCGUAAAGGGCGCGUAGGCGGCCUCUGCAAGUCAGUUGUGAAAUCUCCGGGCUUAACUCGGAAAGGUCAACUGAUACUGCAGGGCUAGAGUGCGGAAGGGGCAACUGGAAUUCUCGGUGUAGCGGUGAAAUGCGUAGAUAUCGAGAGGAACACCUGCGGCGAAGGCGGGUUGCUGGGCCGACACUGACGCUGAAGCGCGAAAGCUAGGGGAGCGAACGGG